rnacentral:rRNA from 1 species
UACGUAGGGGGCAAGCGUUGUCCGGAUUUAUUGGGCGUAAAGAGCGUGUAGGCGGUUAGGUAGGUCCGUUGUGAAAACUCGAGGCUCAACCUCGAGACGCCGAUGGAAACCAUCUGGCUAGAGUCCGGAAGAGGAGAGUGGAAUUCCUGGUGUAGCGGUGAAAUGCGCAGAUAUCAGGAGGAACACCGGUGGCGAAGGCGGAUCUCUGGGCCUUACCUGACGCUCAGGCGCGAAAGCUAGGGGAGCGAACUGG